rnacentral:rRNA from 1 species
AUAUAACUAAGCGGAGGAAAAGAAACUAACAAGGAUUCCCCCAGUAACUGCGAGUGAAGCGGGAAAAGCUCAGACUGAAAAUCUUCGGAGUUGUAGUCUGUCGAAGCCAGAUCUGUGGAGGUGUGCGGGCAAAUUCCGAUGGAAAGCGGAGCCGAGGAGGGUGAUAGCCCCGUUCAUGCCUGUACGCCGAAGCUUGUGAUCGGUUUUCUACGAGUCGAGUUGUUUGGGAUUGCAGCUCUAAGCGGGUGGUAAAUUCCAUCUAAAGCUAAAUAUCGGUGGGAGACCGAUAGCGCACAAGUA